rnacentral:rRNA from 1 species
UGGGGAAUUUUGGACAAUGGGCGAAAGCCUGAUCCAGCAAUGCCGCGUGUGUGAAGAAGGCCUUCGGGUUGUAAAGCACUUUUGUCCGGAAAGAAAUGGCUCUGGUUAAUACCUGGGGUCGAUGACGGUACCGGAAGAAUAAGGACCGGCUAACUACGUGCCAGCAGCCGCGGUAAUACGUAGGGUCCAAGCGUUAAUCGGAAUUACUGGGCGUAAAGCGUGCGCAGGCGGUUGUGCAAGACCGAUGUGAAAUCCCCGAGCUUAACUUGGGAAUUGCAUUGGUGACUGCACGGCUAGAGUGUGUCAGAGGGGGGUAGAAUUCCACGUGUAGCAGUGAAAUGCGUAGAGAUGUGGAGGAAUACCGAUGGCGAAGGCAGCCCCCUGGGAUAACACUGACGCUCAUGCACGAAAGCGUGGGGAGCAAACAGGAUUAGAUACCCUGGUAGUCCACGCCCUAAACGAUGUCAACUAGUUGUUGGGGAUUCAUUUCCUUAGUAACGUAGCUAACGCGUGAAGUUUGACCGCCUGGGGAGUACGGUCGCAAGAUUAAAAGCUUAAA